rnacentral:rRNA from 1 species
CCUACGGGUGACUGCAGUGGGGGAUAUUGCACAAUGGGGGGAACCCUGAUGCAGCGACGCCGCGUGGGUGAAGGAGUAUUUCGGUAUGUAAAGCCCUAUCGGCAGGGAAGAAAUUUGACGGUACCUAACUAUGAAGCCCCGACUAACUACGGUCCAGCAGCCGCGGGAAUACGUAUGGGGCAAGCGGUAACCGGAUUCACGGGGUGUAAAGGGAGCGUAGUCGGCGAUGCAAGCCAGGGGUGAAAGCCCGGGGCCCAACCCCGGGAUGGCCCUUGGAACUGGAUGGCUGGAGUUCGGGAGGGGUAGGCGGAAUUCCUGGUGUAGCGGUGAAAUGCGUAGAUAUCAGGAGGAACACCAGAGGCGAAGGCGGCCUGCUGGACCGAGACUGACGUUGAGGCUCGAAAGCGUGGGGAGCGAACAGGAUUAGAUACCCCAGUAGUC